GACGAACGCUGGCGGCGUGCCUAAUACAUGCAAGUAGAACGCACAGUUUAUACCGUAGCUUGCUACACCAUAGACUGUGAGUUGCGAACGGGUGAGUAACGCGUAGGUAACCUGCCUGGUAGCGGGGGAUAACUAUUGGAAACGAUAGCUAAUACCGCAUAAUAUUAAUUAUUGCAUGAUAAUUAAUUGAAAGGUGCAAUUGCACCACUACCAGAUGGACCUGCGUUGUAUUAGCUAGUAGGUGAGGUAACGGCUCACCUAGGCGACGAUACAUAGCCGACCUGAGAGGGUGAUCGGCCACACUGGGACUGAGACACGGCCCAGACUCCUACGGGAGGCAGCAGUAGGGAAUCUUCGGCAAUAGACGAAAGUCUGACCGAGCAACGCCGCGUGAGUGAAGAAGGGUUUCGGAUCGUAAAGCUCUGUUGUAAGAGAAGAACGGGUGUGAGAGUGGAAAGUUCACACUGUGACGGUAUCUUACCAGAAAGGGACGGCUAACUACGUG
rnacentral:rRNA from 1 species